CCUACGAGGAGCAGCAGUGAGGAAUAUUGGUCAAUGGCCGAGAGGCUGAACCAGCCAAGUCGCGUGAGGGAAGACGGCCCUACGGGUUGUAAACCUCUUUUGGCGGGGAGCAAAGCGAACCACGUGAGGGUCAUUGAGAGUACCCGAAGAAAAAGCAUCGGCUACCUCCGUGCCAGCAGACGCGGUAAUACGGAGGAUUCGAGCGUUAUCCGGUUUUAUUGGGUUUAAAGGGUGCGCAGGCGGAGGUGCAAGUCAGCGGUCAAAUUGCGGGGCUCAACCCCGUACUGCCGUUGAAACUGCAGCCCUUGAGUGCGCGAGAAGUAUGCGGAGUGCGUGGUGUAGCGGUGAAAUGCAUAGAUAUCACGCAGAACUCCGAUUGCGAAGGCAGCAUACCGGCGCGCAACUGACGCUCAUGCACGAAAGCGUGGGUAUCGAACAGGAUUAGAGACCCCAGUAGUC
rnacentral:rRNA from 1 species